UACGUAGGGUGCAAGCGUUAAUCGGAAUUACUGGGCGUAAAGCGUGCGCAGGCGGUUGUGCAAGACAGAUGUGAAAUCCCCGGGCUCAACCUGGGAACUGCAUUUGUGACUGCACGGCUGGAGUGCGGCAGAGGGGGAUGGAAUUCCGCGUGUAGCAGUGAAAUGCGUAGAUAUGCGGAGGAACACCAAUGGCGAAGGCAAUCCCCUGGGCCUGCACUGACGCUCAUGCACGAAAGCGUGGGGAUCAAACAGG
rnacentral:rRNA from 1 species